AGAGUUUGAUCCUGGCUCAGGAUGAACGCUAGCUACAGGCUUAACACAUGCAAGUCGAGGGGCAUCAGGAAGAAAGCUUGCUUUCUUUGCUGGCGACCGGCGCACGGGUGAGUAACACGUAUCCAACCUGCCCUUUACUCGGGGAUAGCCUUUCGAAAGAAAGAUUAAUACCCGAUGGCAUAAUGAUUCCGCAUGGUUUCAUUAUUAAAGGAUUCCGGUAAAGGAUGGGGAUGCGUUCCAUUAGGUUGUUGGUGAGGUAACGGCUCACCAAGCCUUCGAUGGAUAGGGGUUCUGAGAGGAAGGUCCCCCACAUUGGAACUGAGACACGGUCCAAACUCCUACGGGAGGCAGCAGUGAGGAAUAUUGGUCAAUGGGCGCUAGCCUGAACCAGCCAAGUAGCGUGAAGGAUGAAGGCUCUAUGGGUCGUAAACUUCUUUUAUAUAAGAAUAAAGUGCAGUAUGUAUACUGUUUUGUAUGUAUUAUAUGAAUAAGGAUCGGCUAACUCCGUGCCAGCAGCCGCGGUAAUACGGAGGAUCCGAGCGUUAUCCGGAUUUAUUGGGUUUAAAGGGAGCGUAGGUGGACUGGUAAGUCAGUUGUGAAAGUUUGCGGCUCAACCGUAAAAUUGCAGUUGAUACUGUCAGUCUUGAGUACAGUAGAGGUGGGCGGAAUUCGUGGUGUAGCGGUGAAAUGCUUAGAUAUCACGAAGAACUCCGAUUGCGAAGGCAGCUCACUGGACUGCAACUGACACUGAUGCUCGAAAGUGUGGGUAUCAAACAGGAUUAGAUACCCUGGUAGUCCACACAGUAAACGAUGAAUACUCGCUGUUUGCGAUAUACAGUAAGCGGCCAAGCGAAAGCAUUAAGUAUUCCACCUGGGGAGUACGCCGGCAACGGUGAAACUCAAAGGAAUUGACGGGGGCCCGCACAAGCGGAGGAACAUGUGGUUUAAUUCGAUGAUACGCGAGGAACCUUACCCGGGCUUAAAUUGCAGUGGAAUGAUGUGGAAACAUGUCAGUGAGCAAUCACCGCUGUGAAGGUGCUGCAUGGUUGUCGUCAGCUCGUGCCGUGAGGUGUCGGCUUAAGUGCCAUAACGAGCGCAACCCUUAUCUUUAGUUACUAACAGGUCAUGCUGAGGACUCUGGAGAGACUGCCGUCGUAAGAUGUGAGGAAGGUGGGGAUGACGUCAAAUCAGCACGGCCCUUACGUCCGGGGCUACACACGUGUUACAAUGGGGGGUACAGAAGGCAGCUAGCGGGUGACCGUAUGCUAAUCCCAAAAGCCUCUCUCAGUUCGGAUCGAAGUCUGCAACCCGACUUCGUGAAGCUGGAUUCGCUAGUAAUCGCGCAUCAGCCACGGCGCGGUGAAUACGUUCCCGGGCCUUGUACACACCGCCCGUCAAGCCAUGGGAGCCGGGGGUACCUGAAGUACGUAACCGCAAGGAUCGUCCUAGGGUAAAACUGGUGACUGGGGCUAAGUCGUAACAAGGUAGCCGUACCGGAAGGUGCGGCUG
rnacentral:rRNA from 1 species